CAGCUGAGUAAUGGCCGUGGAUUCCGAUCUGUGUGGAUGGAAAGAGCUGUGUCUUCCGGAUGGGAAAAACCAGGCAGGUGUGGCGUAAAAAGGAUUUGGUCGAAAUCGGGAGUCUAGCGCGAUAAAGAGUUUGGCAUCCUUCACCAACGGCAGGCACCGCCUCAAAAUGGAAGACUACGACACGCUGCAUCCGCAAAAGGCCGUUUUCGUCAAGGAGAGUCAACUCGACUUUCAUUCCAGCUUUCUCUCCACCAUCGUCGAUCGUCCGCAGAAAACUCUUCCGCAGCGGAAUGAAAGUUCGAUUCCGGGUGAUCCUAUAACGCAAUUAAAUCUGAAACUUUACACGGAUACAAUCACCGUCUCGCUGCGCAACGAAUAUAGAAGCCUCAAGUGCACCACCAUCGUAGUGGUCACGAAGUCGUAGAGCACAUCCAUCGCCACGGAAGUUCUCACGCUGAGACCAUCAUCGCGGAAAACAGAUUCAAAGUGGGGAUCAGCACGGGGCGGAUUCACGCCAGAGGAUCAGUGGGCGUCGGAAGGUCUGCUCACCUUCAAGAGGAUCCUAUUGGCGGGUUGGGCGAGGCGGCUUCAGAUUUCGCUCCCAAUUGCGGCAAACGUUUCCCUCGUCAAUCGCUGCCACUCGAUGACUGAGAGCCCCAAGCCAAUUGACGUCAUCUCAAUAAAUUUUCUUUCUUUUUUUUGUAAACGUGUGGAUAGCUUACCA
rnacentral:lncRNA from 1 species